GCUGUGUCAUGCAAGAAGGAGGCGGCGGCGGCGGCCGGAGCUGGAGGGGGAGGAGGGGAGGAACCUGAUCCUCGGUAGCGAAGGGCUGGAGGCAAACACCGAGCUCCCCCUGAGCCGCCUGGGAGCAGGGAGGGUUCUGCUACCCUGAGGGGCCCUCCCCGCGGGGCAGAGGGGUUUCCUCAGCAGUGCCCCGGAGCAGGGACCGCGCCAGCCAGCAGAAACAGCUAGUUGUUGUCUGCAGUGAAGAAUAAUUGGAAGCAUGGUGCCUGUUUCUUUUCCUAGGAGUGUUCCACUGACUGACCUCUUUUUGUUUUCAAAUGAAGAGGAGCCAAGAAUAGGACAGCUUGGGAAGCUCAUCCUCGUCUACGGCCAAACGUUGGUUUCUCAUUUCUAGAAGAUGAAAGAUGUGAUGACUCAGGAAAAACUGGAAUCUUAGUAACUGUGGUGGGCAUUGAGCCUUGCCGUCCACAAGAGAAAGCUUGCUGCUCGAGAUGUGAGUCUUCAGAUGUUCCUGCCGCCAUAUCUGACAGCUGCUGCCAAGAUUCCCUGGUGGGAUGGACUCUUAUACCUCAACAACCAGAAGCCCAAGUAAACUCUUCUAUAAAUUGAAUGACUCAUGCUUAAAAAAAAAAACAAAAAACAAACUAUCUUUAUUUUG
rnacentral:lncRNA from 1 species